ACUUUAUUUUUGUUCAGAAGGCCAUUUAUGCGUUCUAAGUAUUUGAAAUCAAAACUAGUCCAACACUAACCAGAUGGUCAUGUCCAAUGUUAUUUGGAACAGUUUUUAAAUUACCAGGAUCAGCUCUGUGUAUUCAGAAAACUGAGGGUGCGGAGGUCGUGAGUCUUAAGUCAAUUCCUAAUGUUGCCAAGUUAAGGGCCUGAGCCUGAGCAGGGCUGACCCGCCUCUUGCUUGCCGUGAAACCAGGGACUAGAAGCAGGGGGAGUCUUGAAUGAUCGGCACUUCCCAGGAUCGGGUCUUAAUUUUCCACUCUGCUUGUUCAUACUUCAUGUGCAGUUGAUUAAGGUUCCUGAAUUUGGACGUUAGACAUGCUGUUGCACUGAAAUACAUACGUUUUUUUUUAAUUGCGGUCCCCAUUUCCCUGUUUAAUCUCUCUGUACACAAGGUAUACAAGGUAUAUGCUGUAUAAGUGGCCUUCUUGAACAAAUCUCUUUGCAAACUGAUUUCAUCCCAGCGAAGGAGUGUAUCAGCAACACUGUACAUUAAUUUCAGGUUUUCAUUUUCUUAUUUUAUUUUGUAAAUAUAUCCGAUAUUUGGAGCUUGAGUAUACAAAAUGUAAAUAUAGUUCAUGUAUUUGUACUAAUUCUGAUCCAUUUGCUGUAUAGCCUUAGGUGUGCAAUGCAGAUAUCUAACUGUGUAUGGUAACCUUGCACCACUGAAUUGUUAGUGAACGAGGUGAAACAAUAAAGGUACAACCAGUGCAUUAGCAGA